rnacentral:lncRNA from 1 species
CUUCUCUCUCCACUCUCUCUUUAUAAGUUUCUCUCUCUAGAUUUUUUUCUCUUUCUUUAGAGAUUUCUCUCUCUAUAAAUCCUAUGGACCAAUAGAGGGUUUCCAAAUCAUUUGGUUGACCCUACGAGGGGUCUUGGACUGUAGUUUCUCCAUCCUUAGUCAUAUAUAAUUUUUAUGUUUGACCUUGAUCAUGUAAAAGUGCGACCGUCUGUACAAGAUGUCAAGUGGAACACCUUGAUCUAAAUUCUUAGAUUGAGG